GUUCAGUUGUGAAUACUUCUAACAUGUCCGGACAUCGGUCUUUUGGGAAAAAAAGAAAACUAGUUUGCCCGAGCAUGGAGCUGGGCGCCCUGCUUGGAAAGAGCUGGCUUUUCUGUUUGGAAAGCGUUUUGGACUUGCGGUCUUGCCAGAGUUGUUUGGGGUCACCUCGGAAAUAAACCUGGACUUGUGCAUCGCU